CACGUAUGAACUUUUUCCGUCCAAUUUUAGUAUUCAGUUCACGUCACUUAUGGAGCAGCUGGUUCCACCAAUGGUUUUAGGAAGUUCAUGCACUAGUGAAGUAGCUAAUUCCUCCAAAGGUUUUGGGUAGUUUAUGUCACUAGUGAAGCAGCUAGUUCCUCCACAUGUUUAACGGAUUUCCUGUCACAAGUAGAGCAAAUAGUUCGUCCACUGGUUUAAGAUAAUUCAUGUUACGAGUGCAGCAGCUACUUCCUCUUGAUUUAAAACUGUGCAUGUCCUUAGUGCAGCAGCUUGUUCCUCCACAGGGUUAACAGAGUUUCUGUCACAAGUUGAGCAGCUAGUUACUCCUUUGAUUUAAUGGAGGUCAUGUCACUUUUGGAGCAGCUAGUUCAUUCACAGGUUUAAGGGAGUGCAUACUACUAGUGGUGCAGCUAGUUCCUCAACUUGUUUUAGGGAGUUUAUGUCACUAGUGGAGGAGCAAGUUUCUCUUUUGAUUUAAAAAGUUCUUGUCCAUAGAGAAGCAGCCAGUUUCUCCACAGGUUUAGUAGUGUUUAUGUCAAAAGUGGAACAGCUUGUUCAUCUGCUGUCUUGAGGGAGUACAUGUUAAGAGUGAAGCAGCUGGUAUCUCCUCUGUGCUUAGGGAGUCCAUGUCACUUGUCGAAGAGAUAGUUACUUCCCUUAAUUUAGGUAGUUCAUAUCACUUGUAGAGCAGCUAGUUACUCCUCUGAUUUCAGUGAGAUUAUCUCACUUGUGGAGCAGCUAGUUACUUCUCUGAUUUUAGAGAAUCCAUGUCACUUGUGGAAUAACUAAAUACUCCUCUGAUUUUCAGGAGAUCAUAUCACUUGUGGAGCAGCUAGUUACUCUUCUGAUUUUUUGGGAAUCCAUAUCACUAGUCAAGCAACAACUUACUCUUCUAAUUAUAGGGACUUCAUAUCACUUGUGGAGCAGCAAGCUACUUCUCUGAUUUUAGGGAGUUCAUUUUACUUGUGGAGAAGCUAGUUCCACCUCUGAGCUAGUUCCUGCUCUGAUUUUAAAAAGAUCAUAUCACCUGUGGAGCAGCUAGUUACUCCUCUGAUUUAAGGGAGUUGAUAUUAAUUGAGAAUCCAUGUCACUUGUGGGAUAGAAAGUCACAUCUCUGAUUUAGGGAGAUCAUAUCAUUUGUGGAGCAGCUAGUUACUCCUCUGAUUUUUUGGGAAUCCAUGUCACCUGUCAAGCAACAAGUUACUCCUCUAAUUAUAGGGAGCUCAUAUCACUUGUGGAGCAGCAAGCUACUUCUCUGAUUUUAGGGAGUUCAUUUUACUUGUGGAGAAGCUAGUUCCACCUCUGGUUUAAGGGAGAUCAUGUCACUUGUGGAGCAGCUAGUUACUCCUCUGAUUUAAGGGAGUUGAUAUCAAUUGCGGAGAAUAUAGUUACAUAUCUGAUUUUAAGGAGAUCAUAUCCUAGUAGAGCAGCUAGUUUCUCCCCUGAAUUUAGAGAGAUAAUAUCCCUUGUGUAGCAGCUAGUUACUCCUCUUAUAUUAGAAAGAUCAUAUCACUUGUGGAGCAGCUAGUUACUCGUCUGAUUUUAGAAAGAUCAUAUCACUUGUGGAGCAGCUAUUUACUCCUCUGAUUAUUUGGGAAUCCAUGUCCUGGUGGAGCAACUAGUUACUCCUCUGAUUUUAGGGAAUUCAUAUCACUUGUGGAGCAGCAAGUUACUUUCUGAUUUUAGGGAGUUCAUUUUACUUGUGGAGCAGCUAGUUCAGCCUCUGGUUUUAGGGAUAUCCUGUAACUUGUGGAGAAGCUAGUUCCUGCUCUGAUUUUAGGAAGCUUAUAUCACUUGUGGAGCAGCUAGUUACUCCUCUGAUUUAAGGGAGUUGAUAUUAAUUGCGGAGAAUAUAAUUACAUGUCUGAAUUUUAGGAGAUCAUAUCCUGGUAGAGCAGCUAAUUUCUCCUCUGAAUUUAGAAUUUGGAACUUUGGAUCCUCAAUGCUCUUCAACUUUGUAAUUGUUUGGCUUUAUAAAUAUUUUGAUAUGAGCGUCACUGAUGAGUCUUAUGAAGACGAAACGCGCGUCUGGCGUACUAGAUUAUAAUCCUGGUACCUUUGAGAACUAUUUAGAGAAAUAAUAUCACUUGUGGAGCAGCUAGUUACUCCUCUGAUUUUAGGGAGCUCAUGUUCUGGUGGAGCAGCUAUUUACUCCUCUGAGUUUUUGAGAAUCCAUGUCACUUGUGGAAUAGAUAGUUACAUCUCUGAUUUAGGGAGAUCAUGAUUAUCACUUGUAGAGGAGGUAGGUACUCCUGAUUUUAGUAGUUCAUGUCCUGGAGGAACAGCUAAUUCCCCCUCUUAUUUUAGGGUGUUCAAGUCAUGAUGGAACAUCACGUUUCCAAUCUCUUGUUUCUCCUCUGAUUUCAUUUUAUUUGUUAAUUCCAUCAUUGUUGUAGAUUGCUCACAUAUUUAUUAUUAUCUCAUGUCUGAC
rnacentral:lncRNA from 1 species